rnacentral:rRNA from 1 species
UACGGAAGGCAGCAGUGGGGAAUAUUGCACAAUGGGCGCAAGCCUGAUGCAGCCAUGCCGCGUGUAUGAAAAAGGCCUUCGGGUUGUAAAGUACUUUCAGUCGUGAGGAAGGUGUUAAGGUUAAUAACCUUAGCAAUUGACGUUAGCGACAGAAGAAGCACCGGCUAACUCCGUGCCAGCAGCCGCGGUAAUACGGAGGGUGCGAGCGUUAAUCGGAAUUACUGGGCGUAAAGGGCACGCAGGCGGUUAAUUAAGUUGGAUGUGAAAUCCCCGGGCUUAACCUGGGAAUGGCAUUCAAGACUGGUUAGCUAGAGUCUUGUAGAGGGGGUAGAAUUCCAUGUGUAGCGGUGAAAUGCGUAGAGAUGUGGAGGAAUACCGGUGGCGAAGGCGGCCCCUGGGACAAAGGACUGACGCUCAUGUGCGAAAGCGUGGGGAGCAAACG